GUUAUCAUGGUCGAGUGGUUAAGGCAAUGCACUUAAAAUCCAUUGGGGUCUACUUACGCAGGUUCAAAUCCUGCUGGUAACG